rnacentral:rRNA from 1 species
CCGCCGGCGACCGGCGCACGGGUGGAGUAACACGUAUGCAACCUGGCCGUGACAGGAUGGAUAACCGGGAGAAAUCCCGCCUAAUACAACAGUAAUGCCGGGAGGGGACAUCCCCUGCCGGCCAAAGGGGGCGACCCCGGUCACGGAUGGGCAUGCGGCGCAUUAGGUAGUUGGUGGGCAACGGCCCACCAAGCCGACGAUGCGUAGGGGUUCUGAGAGGAAGGUCCCCCACAUUGGAACUGAGACACGGUCCAAACUCCUACGGGAGGCAGCAG